AAUCGUGCAGUCAUAACACCUUGAAACGCAUACGGCGCGGCGUAGACCCUCGGCAUUGUCUCGAACAUUAUCAUACGACAACGGCAUUAUAAUAAUAAUUACGCAAAUUUUCACGAAUGUAGAUUUGUGGGUGUUUUUUUUUUUUCACAGAUAUUAAAGAUGACGCGCAUAUAUCAUGUGGAUUGUUAUUGAUAUCACGAUGCUGUCGGACACAAGAAUUUGUGGUUGCAUAUUUUUUUUUCUCCUACGGCGAGACAAUAUUUCCAUUUUUCAUAGGACCGAAUUUGCUCUGUGAAAAAUGAAUAAUACUUAAUAGUACAAGUGUACGUGCGUGUUCUGAUUAGAGUAUUUUGUAAAAAAAGUUUCCAAAUGGACACCCUGCAGU